rnacentral:rRNA from 1 species
CAAGUUGUAUCGGUGGAUCACUUGGUUCGUGGGUCGAUGAAGAACGCAGUGAAUUGCGUUAUGAAGUACGAAUUACAGAUAUUAUGAGUACCAUGUUUUCGAAUGCACAUUGCGCCGUUGGGUUUAGCCCUUCGGCAUAUGCGAUUCAGGGUGUUUU